rnacentral:rRNA from 1 species
GAUGAACGCUGGCGGCGUGCCUAAUACAUGCAAGUCGAGCGAACAGACGAGGAGCUUGCUCCUCUGACGUUAGCGGCGGACGGGUGAGUAACACGUGGAUAACCUACCUAUAAGACUGGGAUAACUUCGGGGAACCGGAUCUAAUACCGGACAAUAUAUUGAACCGCAUGGUUCAAUAGUGAAAGACGGUUUUGCUGUCACUUAUAGAUGGAUCCGCGCCGCAUUAGCUAGUUGGUAAGGUAACGGCUUACCAAGGCAACGAUGCGUAGCCGACCUGAGAGGGUGAUCGGCCACACUGGAACUGAGACACGGUCCAGACUCCUACGGGAGGCAGCAGUAGGGAAUCUUCCGCAAUGGGCGAAAGCCUGACGGAGCAACGCCGCGUGAGUGAUGAAGGUCUUCGGAUCGUAAAACUCUGUUAGUAGGGAGGAACAAAAGUGUAAGUAACUAUGCACGUCUUGACGGUACCUAAACAGAAAGCCACGGCUAACUACGUG